AAUGCGUCUUAAAAUAUAUUGGAAAAUACUAUGAAAAGUAUAAAACUUACGAGGUGUGUGAUCUAGACAUGGUGGCAAGAAAAUAAGAAAAUCCGAUAAUGUAUACGGUCUGACCCUCAUUUUACUGAUUGUAUAUUCUUCUUGUAGAUCCUAGCCAUCUAUCCCCUGAAUUUAAGAAACACCACGAUUUCUUUCACCUGAACUGCGCUAAAAUUUGUCAAUUUAGUGUUUUUCGGUGGAAUAUUAAUAUACCCUUGGUUUACAAUGUGUUAAUAUUUCUCCUUCAAGGAUUGGAAACCAUAUUCCUCGGGACAUGAGUCUGGCCCAUACAAAUUGAAUGUUGCCAACGCGUAUUCUUUCCAGCCAUAAAUUAAAUAAAAUAUUGAUUUAAUGUAGAACGAUAUUCAACAGCUUCAAGGUAACUCGUGCUCUGAUUUCGAACGAAUCUUCAUCCCCGUGGCACCAGCCUCUGGUGCACCAUGAAGGCAAUCGGUAUGGCAAUAAUGCCCAGAAGGAUUAAGAUUACUUCAGCGACAUCCAGCAUUGUGCAAAUUUAAGUAUU